rnacentral:rRNA from 1 species
GUAAGCACAUGGAGGCCGCAGUGACCAGGUGGCUGGGACUGUUUAUUAAAAACACAGCACUCUGCAAACUCGUAAGAGGACGUAUAGGGUGUGACACCUGCCCGGUGCCGGAAGGUUAAUUGAUGGGGUUAGUUUUCGGACGAAGCUCUUGAUCGAAGCCCCGGUAAACGGCGGCCGUAACUAUAACGGUCCUAAGGUAGCGAAAUUCCUUGUCGGGUAAGUUCCGACCUGCACGAAUGGUGUAACCAUGGCCACGCUGUCUCCACCCGAGACUCAGUGAAAUUGAAAUCGCAGUGAAGAUGCUGUGUACCCGCACCUAGACGGAAAGACCCCGUGAACCUUUACUACAGCUUGGCACUGAACAUUGAACCUACAUGUGUAGGAUAGGUGGGAGGCUUUGAAGCAUUGUCGCUAGAUGAUGUGGAGCCGUCCUUGAAAUACCACCCUUGUAUGUUUGAUGUUCUAACAUAGUUCCCUUAUCGGGAAUGUGGACAGUGUCUGGUGGGUAGUUUGACUGGGGCGGUCUCCUCCCAAAUAGUAACGGAGGAGCACGAAGGUUAGCUAAUCACGGUCGGACAUCGUGAGGUUAGUGCAAUGGCAUAAGCUAGCUUAACUGCGAGACAGACACGUCGAGCAGGUACGAAAGUAGGUCAUAGUGAUCCGGUGGUUCUGUAUGGAAGGGCCAUCGCUCAACGGAUAAAAGGUACUCCGGGGAUAACAGGCUGAUACCGCCCAAGAGUUCAUAUCGACGGCGGUGUUUGGCACCUCGAUGUCGGCUCAUCACAUCCUGGGGCUGAAGUCGGUCCCAAGGGUAUGGCUGUUCGCCAUUUAAAGUGGUACGCGAGCUGGGUUUAGAACGUCGUGAGACAGUUCGGUCCCUAUCUGGUGUGGGCGUUGGAUGAUUGAUGGGAGCUGCUCCUAGUACGAGAGGACCGGAGUGGACGAACCGCUGGUGUUCGGGUUGUCAUGCCAAUGGCAUUGCCCGGUAGCUACGUUCGGAACGGAUAACCGCUGAAAGCAUCUAAGCGGGAAGCCGGCCCAGAGAUGAGUCAUCCCUGACUUUUAAAGUCCGGAAGGGUUGUUAUAGACGAUGACGUUGAUAGGCAGGGUGUGGAAGCGUUGUAAGGCGUUAAGCUAACCUGUACUAAUUGCCCGAGAGGCUUAACCAUACAACGCCUAA